rnacentral:rRNA from 1 species
UAAAAAUUUAUUUAUUUUAGGUAGUAACAGAUUUCUUGAAACCUAAAGAAUUUGGCGGUAUUUUAAAUAAUUAGAGGAACCUGUUAAAUAAAUGAUAAUCCACAACAUAUCUUACCUUAAUUAAGUUUGUAUACCGUUGUUUUCAGAUUAUAUUUAAAAAUUAUAAUCAAAAUUAAUUAAUUUUCGUAAAUCAAAUCAAGGUGCAGCAUAUUUAGGUCUUAAUGGGUUACAAUAUAUUUAUAUACACGAAUUAAUUAUGAAAAUGUUUUUUGAAGGUGGAUUUAAAAGUAAUUUAAAAUUAAAAUGUUUAGAUGAAUAAAAAUUUAAAAUAUGC